rnacentral:rRNA from 1 species
GACGAACGCUGGCGGCGUGCUUAACACAUGCAAGUCGUACGGUAAGGCCCUUUCGGGGGUACACGAGUGGCGAACGGGUGAGUAACACGUGAGUAACCUGCCCACAACUUUGGGAUAACGCUAGGAAACUGGUGCUAAUACUGGAUAUGUGCUCCUGCUGCAUGGUGGGGGUUGGAAAGCUCCGGCGGUUGUGGAUGGACUCGCGGCCUAUCAGCUUGUUGGUGGGGUAGUGGCCUACCAAGGCGGCGACGGGUAGCCGGGCUGAGGGGGUGACCGGCCACAUUGGGACUGAGGGACGGCCCAGACUCCUACGGGAGGCAGCAGUGGGGAAUAUUGCACGAUGGGCGCAAGCCUGAUGCAGCAACGCCUCGUGCGGGAUGACGGCCUUCGGGUUGUAAACCGCUUUCAGCAGGGACGAAGCUUUUUGUGACGGUACCUGCAGAAGAAGCACCGGCUAACUACGUG